UGAAGAUGAGAGAUUCUAAUGUUUGAAGCUUUCUCUCACAUCUCCAUAUCAUUGGGAGAGAUUGUUUUUGUGUUGUUGGUGGUUUGGUUUUGUACAUGCAGGACCAGUAUAUAAAUCACAUUAUGAAUGAAACAGGAGCAACUGUUGUACUAAAAGGGCAUGGCUCUGGAAAUUUUGAAAGCCCAAGUGGUGGAGAAAGGCAGCAACCAAUUCAUCUAUUCCUGUCCGCCAAUAAUUCAAAAAGUCUUGAAGAUGCAAAACGUUUGGCUGAAAACCUUCUGGAUACUAUUAGUUUAGAAUGUGGUGCCUCCAGGGUUUCAUCAUACAAUGUUUAUGGUGCUGUUCCACCACCUCAGCAGAUAUUGGUGGGGGUUCAGAGUUCUGGAAAUGAGCAUAAAGUAAAUACAAGCCCAACUGCUGGUUUGACAUCGUCAGCAAUGAGCUCCCCACCACGUAUUCUAGCUUCUUCAG
rnacentral:misc_RNA from 1 species